ACAAAAAUCAUUUCCUAAACCAUUUUAACUUCUCAAACUUGCAUCUUAUUUGCAGUUCUCUUUUCUCAAUUUUCUCUUCCCAAGUAUCAACAUAUAAAACAUGGGUUUUCAUUUACGUGGUAUCAGAAAGGCAUCCCUUCCUGCAAUCCAAGCCUUUUCAAAAGUUGUGAACGUGCCAAAGGGUUACAUUGCAGUCUAUGUUGGAGAUAAAAUGAAGCGGUUCAUGAUCCCUGUAUCAUACUUGAACCAACCUUCAUUUCAAGAUUUGUUGAGUCAAGCUGAGGAAGAAUUUGGGUAUGACCAUCCAAUGGGUGGUCUCACUAUUCCUUGUGGAGAAGAUGUGUUCUUAGAUAUCACUUCUCGUUUCAAUAGGUGCUAGUUGCAUGAAGAGACUGACUUAGAUGUAGACUCUACUUGACACAUUUUUGUAUCUUAGUUUCUGACCAUCAAAAUAUCUCCUCUCUCUCAAUUUUUGUUAUCUUGUUUAGGCAAGUGUAAAAAAAUGUUAAUCUGAAUGAGAAGUUUUCUACACGAUGUUUCUUCCCAAAUGUUCUAUGAAUCUGAUCUACAUAUCCCAUUUUCUCUUUUUCUAUCAAUCAGAUUUAAAUUAAACUAUUAACUCCACAUUUUCUUACAAAAUUAAUUAGAAAAACUACUUAGAAGAGAUAGAAAGAUAAGUUUAAAAUAAAAUGAGUGAUGUAACAGAGAAAUAAAGCUAAGCAUUGAUGAAAAUUAUAUGCUUUUGUUAACCUGAACUGCUUUGGUUUGACCUGGCUCCAAGUGAUUUGUGAACAUCUCUGGUCACUUGAAUAUUGCCUGACAGGAGAUUAAAUUCAUAAAAUUCUGUCACCAACCUAUGAAGGAGGCCCAAUUAGGCAGCAUCACCAUCUUUCCAAGAUGAAGUUUGUUGGUCUUACGGCCUCAAUAUAUGAUAUGCUGGUUUUUGGCUCAGUAAUUGAAUAGCAGUGGAGUUUGAGAGUGAUUUGUGUGUAACGUGUGGGGAGCUAACCGAAACAGUGAGCCACUUAUUUUAGUUGUAAAUAUGCAAUUCAAGUAUGGAAUUUGUGUAAUAAGUGGACUGGGAUAACCUCUGUUUCACAUAAUCAGGCAGAAAAGCACUUCAACCAUUUUUUUGUACUUUACAGCUUAACACCAAAGGUAACACAGUGUGGAAGUGCAUGUGGAUAGCAAUCAUAGAGGUAUAUGGAAUAUGAGAAACAGAAUUAUCUUAAAAAUGCAAGAGUGGAUGGGGAAGAAAUUUUUAAGUUGCCACAAAUUAAAGUGUGGGCAUGGGUGAUGUAUAGGUUCAAGAAGGCAACUUUUUCCUUUUCAGAUUGGAUUUUGUGCCCUUUAAUAUGCAUCAAGUAUAUUCAAUAAUCCUACAGUGGUAACUGUGUGCAGGUGAAUUUGAAAGACAAUAAUGCUUAAGGGUGUAAUAUAAUAUGGCUAUAGGUGGAGCCUUAAGAUCAUGACAAAAUAGGUGCACACACCUUGGUGGGAAGCAAAGGACCUUAGAGUGAACAUUAUGUAUAAGAGACGACCAUAGGUUCCCUGUGCAACAAUCUAAAUCAUGAGAUGGGUAGUUAAACAUAGCACAUUUGUAAACUUUUGGGGAUGACCAAACACCCUUAAGGGCAGGGGACUAUAUCUUCCAGUGGUUUGUUUUUUUAUUCUAGUAGUUGUGUUUUGCAGGUUAAGAAAAUCCACUAGGUCAUAGUGCAGUACCUUUGAUGCUAAGGAGAAAAAUAUCAAGAGCAGGUUGGGAAUACUCUGGAAAAGCUGCUAGAUAGGGGAGGUAACGUCUCCCAAGGGAACAGAGAAGAUAAUUGUAAGUGGGUUAGAGUACCUGCCAUUAUUGCCCCAUUUUGUAUUCUGUGAUCUUAAGAUGAUGCAAAGACAAGCAAUUGCCCUACUUUAUGUAUGGGGUAAAAUUGAGAAAGGAAAAUGGAAUAAAAAGUUAGGUUUUUCCCAAUGAAGAUUUUUAAGUGGGCGAAAUCACAUGGUGAUGGAUGGGAUGAAGUAAUUUCUACCUUUUCUUUUCUUUCUUUUCUAUUGUUUGUUUAACAAUUCAAACAACCAAAAUAAACAAUCUCAUCCUCUUACAAAAUGGAAACUGUGUUCCUAGAAUCCAUUUAUAGAUAAAAGAAACCUUACAUCAAAUACAUAUUAAAUUUCUAUAACAGGAGAUCUUAUCCAUUGAAAUGAAUGGGAACAACACAACAUAAUUUUAAGUCCAUUAUAACUGACUUGGCUAGGCCAAAAUCCGCUUGUGUAAAAACUUAAAAACCUUUCACAUCCGUUCUAAAGAAAUUGAUGCUUCUCCUCGGCCCUAUAAAAAUACUAAUAUCUCCGCCCCUUCCCUGCCUUGCCCAGAUUGCGAAGCACUUGGUUUUUUUAUGCUGUGGAACUUAUCAGAUUGCAAAGCACUUGGUUUUCUUAGGCUGUGGAACUUAUGAGAAUAUAUAGUGAUGUAUACCAUUCGAUGGCAGGGAGAAGUAAACAUUGUAAUAGAUAAGUAGAAAGACGUAGCAUUUGAAUUUGUUAUCAUUACUCAAAAAUUUGGUAGUAAUAGUUACAAGUUCGAGAAGAUGCCUAUUGUACAAAAUGUCUCUAAUAAUCUAUGUCAGUCUCCUAAAGUGAGAUCUAUUGUUCCUUGAAGAAAGAAAUUGUAUAUUGGAAGACAUCUUCACUGCAAGGAAUUGUGAUGCCACCCAUGGGAUGAUCAUAUCCAAACUCUUCCUCUGCUCGACUCAGUAAGUCUUGGAAUGAAGGUUGGUUCAAGUAUGAGAUGGGAAUCACAAACCGAUUUUGUUUCUCUCCAACGUACACGGCAAAAUAGCCCUUUGGUAUGUCUUCAGAUUUUGAAGUUGCUUGUCUUGCUGUGAAUGAUGCCCGUCGGAUGGCAGGUAAACGGAAACCCAUUUUUGGAGUUUGUUUGAAGGAAGAAGAACAAUCUCAAAUUUACAGAGAGUGAACCCAAAUUUUGAUGCUUGUGGCUUGUUUUGUUUUUGAAGGUAUAGGAUUGUGUAUAUAUAGCUGUUAAAAGAAGGAGGGCAUACAGAUGAGAUAUCGCGUGGUGUUGUCUUCAGUACUUCUAUGAAGCAGAAUGAAGGGUACAGGUGUGUAACCCCACCUUGUUCAACAACGGGCAACAUUAAGCCUCCACAUGUACCCAAUGAGACGUGGCUAAGUGAAGGCCUAAUUCUCUUCAUGCAUUAAUUGGUAAUAUAUAUUAUGUAAAACAUGUUUUGGACAUGUUUUCUUGACAUUAACUAAAGUUGAAGAACAGCUGGAUAGAUGAAAUUAUAAGGCAAUGGACAGCGAGAGAUGAUAGACCAUUAUAUUCAUGAGAUUUGAAAUCAUACGUCUAAUCUAUUUCAGGUGAAAUGGCUUGGGAUAGUGUACUAUCGACUGUAACAUCUCACAUUAAUCCCUAAGAAACACUUCCAAGGCAACACCAUGUGCCCUUUCUGUCUUAUCGGUCCCAUGACUCUUAUCCCAUAGCCUUCCACCCUCAAUCAUUCAAGUAGCCGACGAUAUCCUACAAAAACUUUCAUCUAUAUAUAUAUAUUCUAGGCUGCAAGCCUUUGGGACAACAAAAAUCAUUUCCUAAAGCAUUUUAACUUCACAAACUAGCAUCUUACUUGCAACUUUCUUCUUUUCUCAACUUUCUCUUCUCUUUCCAAGUAUCAACAUAUAAAACAUGGGCUUUCAUUUACGUGGUAUCAGAAAGGCAUCCCUUCCUGCAAUCCCAGCAUUUUCAAAAGUUCUGAACGUGCCAAAGGGUUACAUUGCAGUCUAUGUUGGAGAUAAAAUGAAGCGCUUCAUGAUCCCUGUAUCAUACUUGAACCAACCUUCAUUUCAAGAUUUGUUGAGUAAAGCUGAGGAAGAAUUUGGGUAUGAACAUCCAAUGGGUGGUCUCACUAUUCCUUGUGGAGAAGAUGUGUUCUUAGAUAUCACUUCUCGUUUCAAUAGGUGCUAAUUGCAUGAAGAUGAGACUGACUUAGAUGUAGACUAUACUUGACACAUUUUUGUAUCUUAGUUUCUUACCAUGAAAAUAUCUCCUCUCUGCAUUUUUGUUAUCUUGUUUUGGAAAGUGUAAAAAAUGUUAAUCUGAAUGAGAUGUUUACUACCUGAUGUUUCUUCUCACAUUUUCUAUGAAUCUGAUCUAUAUAUCACAUUUUCUCUUUAUCUAUCAAUCAGAUUUAAAUUAAACUAUUAUCUCCACAUUUUAUAACAAAAUUAGUUAUAAAAACUACUUACAAGAGAUACGAAGAUAAGUUUAAAAUAAAUGAGUGAUGUAACAGAGAAAUAAAGCGAAGCAUUUACGAAAAUUAUAAGCUUUUGUUAAC
rnacentral:lncRNA from 1 species